rnacentral:lncRNA from 1 species
AUGGCAAUCAGCAGAAGGAGCUCCAUGCUGUUGGUGAUGGCCUUAGUGCUUGGGACGGUCUCCCUUGCCACGGCCGCAUCUGGAGUCGCCACCUUCUACACUCAAUACACACCAUAUGAAAGAACUGUUAAACUAAACUAACCAUCUCUCUCUCUGAUCUCUUGAAAUUUACUAACCAUGUCUCUAAUCCAUUCUCUCUCUCUAUAUAUAUAUGUGUGUGUGUGUGUGUGUGUUUGUUUUGCUAUAUGACAUAGCUGACCAUGUAUCUGUGUCUCUACAGCGUCGGCGUGCUACGGGAACAGGAACAUGGGGAACAUGGUGGCGGCGGCGAACGACAGGUUGUACAACAACGGCGCCGUGUGCGGGCGGUGCUACGCCGUGAAGUGCGCCGGCGCGGCGGCCGGCGGCGGCGGAGGCAACCCCUGCACCGGCGCCAGCGUCACCGUGAAGAUGGUCGACAACUGCGCCAGCAGCGACGGGUGCACGAGCACCAUCGACCUCUCCAGGGAGGCCUUCGCCAAGAUCGCCAACCUCGACGCCGGCGUCAUCAGGAUCACCUACAACCCAACGUACGUAUAGUAC